AAGUCGUAACAAGGUAACCGUAGGUGAACCUGCGGUUGGAUCAUUAAUAAAUUUACAAGAUCUAAGCUUUAACUAAACAUUAAAGUCUUUUAUCUUAACAACUAUGUGAACUGUUUACUGUCUCUGGUAGGUUAAAAGUAUUUCAACUGUUUUAAAAAAUAGUUGAUUUAUGGAGUUUCCACUCUACCUACCGUUUUAAACUUGAACUUUUAUUUUAAAAACUGUCUUGAAUUUAGAAUUAUAUUAAAUUUUAAACAACUUUUGACAACGGAUCUCUUGGCUCUC
rnacentral:misc_RNA from 1 species